rnacentral:tRNA from 1 species
UGUUAAUUAGUUUAAGUAAAAUAAAAACUUUGUAAGUUUUAGAUUCUAUAGGCAU